ACACCCUUUUGUUAUUUUCUUUUACUCGAGACUUUUGUCAACCACUUGCAGCCGUGGACUGCGGCUGCCUCUCCUGUGCUGAUUAGAGAGAGAGAGAGCGAGCGAGAGAGAGAGUUCCACGGUGACACCACUCCAGCCAGAUUCCGCUCUCUACCGUCGUCCCGUCCUCUCCUAGAUGGCCCAGCGCCGCCUCGCCGUCCUCUCUUCCCACCUCCUCCAAACCGACCCUGUACUCCCAUCAGCCACGCACCGGCGGGCGGGGCCCGUCGAACCUUUGGAUCUCGCCUCCACUUCAUCCUGCUGCGCUGGCGGAGGCGACGCUGGACGGGAUGAGGAGAAGGGAUGCGUCUUUUGUAGGAUCAUCCGUGAUGAAUCCCCCGCAUUCAAGCUUUAUGAAGAUGAUGUAUGCAUCUGUAUUUUGGACUCUAACCCAUUGAUUUUGGGGCACUCGCUUAUCAUCCCAAAGUCACAUUUUCCUUCACUGGAAGCGACUCCACCUCCUGUGGUAGCAGCCAUGUGUUCCAAGAUACCAUUUCUCAGCAGUUGUAUAAUGAAAGCUACUCAAUGUGAUUCAUUCAAUUUAUUGGUCAACAAUGGAUCAGCGGCAGGGCAAGUAAUAUUUCAUACUCAUCUUCACAUAAUUCCUCGAAAAGCCGGAGACGAACUAUGGCGUUCUGAGAGUUGUAGAAGGCACCCCAUCGAAUCAAACCAGGAAAUCGACCAUCUCGUGAAUUCAAUCAGGCAUCUGGUUUCUUCUUCUUCUUCCCAGCAAUAGCUGCCGAUCUAAUACACGGAUCGUCCCAAAGAAUCUGCAAGAUUAGGGAUCCCAACUUGUGAAAACCCACGGAAGAGCCAUUAAAAAAAUCUGUGCAAUCAUAAUAAAAUAAGUAUAAUUAUGACAGAAGAUUAGAUGCUUGGGAGGUCCUCCAGCAUGGGAUGGUAGAUAAAGAAGAGUGUUUCCAAACAAGCAUUUGAACACGGAGUUGAUUUCAUUACCAUCACAGUGC